UGAGUCGAGCACACGCACUUUAGAACACGGGUUCAAAGCAGGUGCCAGCAGCAACAAUGUAACAAUGUAGCAACGUCACAACAAACGAACAAGCAAACGUUCUAAACGCUUUCCAGGUUUGACUGCGUCUAUAAGGCAUUGCCUCGUGGUCAUAAUGAUGCCAAUGAGCAUUAACAGAAGCAGCAGGAAGAUUGCCAGGAUGUAGCCCACUUGGUGCAAGAGGCCUGGCAGGCGAGAGGGGAGAGGGACAAGGUUUCAUGUAAGAAUGGCCAAAACAGGCGUAAUGAGUUCCAGACAUGAUGUCAUGCCGCAGCAAUGGAGAAAAAAACACAAACCACAAGAACGGGAAGCGAUAGUGCAGGCGGAGAGACCACUUCAUGGUCAGUCUGUCUGGAGACAUUUUCCACUUAUUUAGUGCCCCACAAUAACAGGGAGAAUUUAGA